rnacentral:misc_RNA from 1 species
UCCUUUGAAGCAGCCAAGAUGGCGGUCGAAGAAUUCGGCGGCUCGGUGCUUGGCCAGAAGAUUGAAGUCGUCUCGGCUGAUCACCAGAACAAGCCGGACCUCGGCGUCAGCAUCGCGCGCCGCUGGUAUGAAGUUGAGAACGUCGACAUGAUCACCGAGCUGACCACGUCGUCGGUCGCGCUCGCGGUUCACGAUCUCUCCAAGCAGAUGAAGAAGAUCGAUAUCGUGGUCGGCGCUGCGACCUCGCGUCUGAGCGGCGAUGCAUGUCAGCCCUACGGCUUCCACUGGGCCUAUGACACCCGCGCGCUUGCCUACGGCACCGGCGGUGCGCUGGUGAAGGCCGGCGGCGAUACAUGGUUCUUCAUGACCGCCGAUUACGCGUUCGGCCAUGCGCUUGAAAAAGACACCGGCGACU